rnacentral:tRNA from 1 species
GGCCCCGUCGUCUAGCGGCAAGGAUGCCCGCCUGACGCGCGGGAGGUCCCGGGUUCGAAUCCCGGCGGGGCCACCA